rnacentral:rRNA from 1 species
GGUCUAGAGAUAGAUCAGGCCUUCGGGACAGAAGAGACAGGUGGUGCAUGGUUGUCGUCAGCUCGUGUCGUGAGAUGUUGGGUUAAGUCCCGCAACGAGCGCAACCCUUAUCAUUAGUUGCUAACAUUCAGUUGAGAACUCUAAUGAGACUGCCAGUGAUAAACUGGAGGAAGGUGGGGAUGACGUCAAAUCAUCAUGCCCCUUAUGACCUGGGCUACACACGUGCUACAAUGGCCGGUACAAAGAGUUGCGAAACUGUGAAGUUAAGCUAAUCUCAUAAAGCCGGUCUCAGUUCGGAUUGUAGUCUGCAACUCGACUACAUGAAGUCGGAAUCGCUAGUAAUCGCGAAUCAGAAUGUCGCGGUGAAUACGUUUCGAGUCUU